rnacentral:rRNA from 1 species
ACGGUGAGGGAUGAAAGCUGGGGGAGCAAACCGGAUUAGAUACCCGGGUAGUCCCAGCUGUAAACGAUGCAGACUCGGUGAUGAAUUGGCUUAUUGCUAAUUCAGUGCCGCAGGGAAGCCGUUAAGUUUGCCGCCUGGGGAGUACGGUCGCAAGACUGAAACUUAAAGGAAUUGGCGGGGGGGCACCACAAGGGGUGAAGCCUGCGGUUCAAUUGGAGUCAACGCCG